GGUAACAGAUCCAGCUUGCUGGAUGCUGACGAGCGGCGGACGGGUGAGUAAUGCAUAGGAAUCUGCCCGGUAGUGGGGGAUAACCUGGGGAAACCCAGGCUAAUACCGCAUACGUCCUACGGGAGAAAGGGGGCUUCGGCUCCCGCUAUCGGAUGAGCCUAUGUCGGAUUAGCUAGUUGGUGAGGUAACGGCUCACCAAGGCCACGAUCCGUAGCUGGUCUGAGAGGAUGAUCAGCCACAUCGGGACUGAGACACGGCCCGAACUCCUACGGGAGGCAGCAGUGGGGAAUAUUGGACAAUGGGGGGAACCCUGAUCCAGCCAUGCCGCGUGUGUGAAGAAGGCCCUCGGGUUGUAAAGCACUUUCAGCGAGGAAGAACGCCUAGCGGUUAAUACCCGCUAGGAAAGACAUCACUCGCAGAAGAAGCACCGGCUAACUCCGUGCCAGCAGCCGCGGUAAUACGGAGGGUGCAAGCGUUAAUCGGAAUUACUGGGCGUAAAGCGCGCGUAGGUGGCUUGAUAAGCCGGUUGUGAAAGCCCCGGGCUCAACCUGGGAACGGCAUCCGGAACUGUCAAGCUAGAGUGCAGGAGAGGAAGGUAGAAUUCCCGGUGUAGCGGUGAAAUGCGUAGAGAUCGGGAGGAAUACCAGUGGCGAAGGCGGCCUUCUGGACUGACACUGACACUGAGGUGCGAAAGCGUGGGUAGCAAACAGGAUUAGAUACCCUGGUAGUCCACGCCGUAAACGAUGUCGACCAGCCGUUGGGUGCCUAGCGCACUUUGUGGCGAAGUUAACGCGAUAAGU
rnacentral:rRNA from 1 species